rnacentral:rRNA from 1 species
AGCGAACGCUGGCGGCAGGCCUAACACAUGCAAGUCGAACGGAUCCUUCGGGAUUAGUGGCGGACGGGUGAGUAACACGUGGGAACGUGCCCUUUGGUUCGGAACAACUCAGGGAAACUUGAGCUAAUACCGGAUGUGCCCUUCGGGGGAAAGAUUUAUCGCCAUUGGAGCGGCCCGCGUCUGAUUAGCUAGUUGGUGAGGUAAAGGCUUACCAAGGCAACGAUCAGUAGCUGGUCUGAGAGGAUGAUCAGCCACAUUGGGACUGAGACACGGCCCAAACUCCUACGGGAGGCAGCAGUGGGGAAUCUUGCGCAAUGGGCGAAAGCCUGACGCAGCCAUGCCGCGUGAAUGAUGAAGGUCUUAGGAUUGUAAAAUUCUUUCACCGGGGACGAUAAUGACGGUACCCGGAGAAGAAGUCCCGGCUAACUUCGUGCCAGCCGCCCGGUAACAC